UACGGGGGGAGCAAGCGUUGUUCGGAAUUACUGGGCGUAAAGGGCGCGUAGGCGGUCUUGUAAGUCUUGUGUGAAAUCCCUCGGCUUAACUGAGGAACUGCACGAGAUACUGCGAGACUUGAGUUCGGGAGAGGAAAGCGGAAUUCCGGGUGUAGCGGUGAAAUGCGUAGAUAUCCGGAGGAACACCGGUGGCGAAGGCGGCUUUCUGGACCGACACUGACGCUGAGGCGCGAAAGCGUGGGGAGCAAACAGG
rnacentral:rRNA from 1 species